GGCCCAAUGGUCUAGUCGUAAGAUACUUGCUUUGGGCGCAUGCUUGAAUGCAAGGGAUCCCGGGUUCAAUUCCCGGUUGGGCCC